rnacentral:rRNA from 1 species
AAGUUGCUUCGGCGGCGCGGCACCCCUUMACGGGGGCGCCGCAGCCCUGCCUCUCCGGAGGUUCGGGGCGCCCGCCGGAGGUACGAAACUCUGUAUUAUAGUGGCAUCUCUGAGUAUAAAACAAAUAAGUUAAAACUUUCAACAACGGAUCUCUUGGUUCUGGCAUCGAUGAAGAACGCAGCGAAAUGCGAUAAGUAAUGUGAAUUGCAGAAUUCAGUGAAUCAUCGAAUCUUUGAACGCACAUUGCGCCCGGUAGUACUCUACCGGGCAUGCCUGUUCGAGCGUCAUUUCAACCCUCAAGCCCUGCUUGGUGUUGGGGCCCUACGGCUGCCGUAGGCCCUGAAAGGAAGUGGCGGGCUCGCUACAACUCCGAGCGUAGUAAUUCAUUAUCUCGCUAGGGAGGUUGCGGCGUGCUCCUGCCGUUAAAGACCCAUCUUUAACCAAGGUUGACCUCGGAUCAGGUAGGAAUACCCGCUGAACUUAAGCAUAUCAAUAAGCGGAGGAAAAGAAACCAACAGGGAUUGCCCUAGUAACGGCGAGUGAAGCGGCAACAGCUCAAAUUUGAAAUCUGGCUUCGGCCCGAGUUGUAAUUUGUAGAGGAUGCUUUUGGUGAGGUGCCUUCUGAGUUCCCUGGAACGGGACGCCAGAGAGGGUGAGAGCCCCGUAUAGUCGGCCACCGAUCCUUUGUAAAGCUCCUUCGACGAGUCGAGUAGUUUGGGAAUGCUGCUCAAAAUGGGAGGUAUAUCUCUUCUAAAGCUAAAUAUAGGCCAGAGACCGAUAGCGCACAAGUAGAGUGAUCGAAAGAUGAAAAGCACUUUGAAAAGAGGGUUAAAUAGCACGUGAAAUUGUUGAAAGGGAAGCGCUUGUGACCAGACUUGUGCCGGGCUGAUCAUCCAGUGUUCUCACUGGUGCACUCGACCCGGCUCAGGCCAGCGUCGGUUUU